rnacentral:rRNA from 1 species
AUUGAACGCUGGCGGCAGGCCUAACACAUGCAAGUCGAACGAGUGGCGGACGGGUGAGUAAUGUCUGGGAAACUGCCUGAUGGAGGGGGAUAACUACUGGAAACGGUAGCUAAUACCGCAUACCAUCCGAUGUUCCCAGAUGGGCUUAGCUUGUGGGUGGGGUAACGGCUCACCAAGGCGACGAUCCCCAGCUGGUCUGCGAGGAUGACCAGCAACGCUGGAACUGAGCAACGGUCCAGACUCCUACGGGAGGCAGCAGUGGGGAAUAUUGCACAAUGGGCGCAAGCCGGAUGCAGCCAUGCCGCGUGUAUGAAGAAGGCCUUCGGGUUGUAAAGUACUUUCAGCGGGGAGGCGUUACCCGCAGAAGAAGCACCGGCUAACUCCGUGCCAGCAGCCGCGGUAAUAC